rfam:Veillonella parvula DSM 2008, complete genome.
UAUUGCCACUAGGGGUGCUUUUGCUGAGAUUGACCAUUCAAAACCCUAGACCUGAUCUAGAUAAUACUGGCGUAGGAAAGUGGAGUGAAACAUAA